rnacentral:piRNA from 1 species
UGAAGACUUGAAUACGAUCCACAAAUCUGGCU